UGGCAAGAAAACAUACGUUGGGUGAAGUGUACGUGCCUCUGGUCGAUGAUCAAUGGCCGCACAACCCCCAUUUUUGUCCAAAAGCCUUCGGUAUUAUUGAAAAUGGUCGUUCAUGACUAUUUUUGACAAAAAUGGGGGUUGUGUGGCCAUUGAUCAUCGACCAGAGGCUCAUACACCUCACCCCACAUAUGGUUCCUUGCCAUAGAUCACAUUCUUGGAUUUCUGGUGGAGACCAUUUCUUGGUCAAAAAUCCGUAGGUGUUAGCCUUCGGUAUUAUUGAAAAUGGUCGUUCAUGGCUAUUUUCAUCAAAAAUGGGGGUUGUGUUGCCAUUGAUCAUCAACCAAAGGCUCGUACACCUCACCCAACAUAUGUUUCCUUCUCAUAGAUCGCAUUCUUGGAUUUCUAGUGGAAACCAUUUCUGGGUCAAAAAUUCGUAGGCGUUAGCCAUCGGUAUUAUUGAAAAUGGUCGUUCAUGUCUAUUUUCGACAAAAAUGGGGGUUGUGUGGCCAUUGAUCAUCGACCAGAGGCUCAUACACCUCACCCCACAUAUGUUUCCUUGCCAU
rnacentral:lncRNA from 1 species